GCCUACGGGACGCAGCAGUGGGGGAUAUUGCACAAUGGGGGAAACCCUGAUGCAGCGACACCGCGUGGGUGAAGAAGCGCUUCGGCGUGUAAAGCCCUAUCAGUGGGGAAGAAAAAGGACGGUACCCAAAGAAGAAGCACCGGCUAAAUACGUGCCAGCAGCCGCGGUAAUACGUAGGGGGCAAGCGUUAUCCGGAUUUACUGGGUGUAAAGGGAGCGUAGACGGCAGUGCAAGUCUGAAGUGAAAGGCAAGGGCUCAACCCUUGGACUGCUUUGGAAACUGUGCUGCUCGAGUGUCGGAGAGGC
rnacentral:rRNA from 1 species